GACAGAGGGGGAGCAAGCGUUGCUCGGAAUCAGCUAGGGCGUAAAGGCGCGUAGGGCGGGAUGGCAAGUCAGUCGUGAAAUCUCUCGGCUCAACCGAGAAACGUCGGCUGAUACUGCCGUUCUUGAGGGAUGCAGAGGAGACUGGAAUUCCCGGUGUAGCGGUGAAAUGUGUAGAGAUCGGGAGGAACACCGGUGGCGAAGGCGGGUCUCUGGGCAUCUCCUGACGCUGAGGCGGCGAAAAGCGUGGGGAGCAAACGGG
rnacentral:rRNA from 1 species